rnacentral:lncRNA from 1 species
CUCCUGUGACUGCGGGAGCCUUUGCCUUGCCCGCCAAGCUGUCUUGGGCUCUUGGUUCCUCAGUCUCUGGAAAACUGAAAGGCGCCUGGGGUGGGCUCCAAGGCUCCUGGCUGGCCGGGCGAGCUCAGGGCUUGGAACCCGAGCCUGGUGAGGGUGGCCCCGAAACGCUUUGCCCCCACCCAGCCCCCACCCGCUGGCCGGCCUCGCUCUAUCCCGGGGGAGUUUCCUGUCCCCUCACCACACUUUCCAUGACGCAAGAGGAAGUCAGCUGCCCAGCCUGGGUUUUCCACGCAGCCUGGGCAGAGGAGGGGUGGAGUGAGCCCCUGGGCGGGAGUCAGAACUCAGGGCCUUCCAGGGACAGACAGAUACUGCAGCCGCCCUGGGCCACACCAGGUAAGGGCGGGUCACUGGGAGGGUCAUCCGUGGGCACCGGCAGCAGGCCUAGACCCGCCCCUGGACGGUCACUCCCAGUGCCCUGGCCUUUGCUCCCCUCUAGGGCAAAGGGACCCCAGGGAUCUGGGCAGGGAAGAGCUGAGGGUCGGAGGCCGUGAGUGAGGAGAGGAAGCUCACUGAGCAGUCCGUCCCCCCUGAGUGGAUGAGGAGUGAGUGAAUCUGCGGUUCCCAAAGGCACAGGACGGCCUGGUGGUCGAGCGGGCAGGAGGGGCCUCUUCCAGUCUGUUAGUGACGGAGCCCUUGAACCCCUGUGCUUCACAGCCCAGCAGUGGCUUCCAGCCCACGGCCCAGAAAGGGCCCAGCUCUGUCCCUCCAGCUGGACCCUGAGCUUCGAGACGUUUCCAUGGCAAUGGAUGGAGGCCUUGGAAGCCGGUGCCCCAGCCAGAGGCAGAUGGGCUCAGGCUGGGCAGGUGCAGCCUAGGGCCUCUCAGCCCCUCGGCUGUGGCUCAGCUUUCUGUGCUCGCCGUGCUGGACGCAGGUGCACAGCGGUGUGGGACAGGCGCGAACCCACCCACUUUCCAGCUCGGCAGCCACGCGGCCCAGCUCCAAAGGCUGACGGCAGAGGCCACGCACGGGCUGAAGCUCGCGCUGUGCUCGGAGCUCUCGGUGCCUGGGGAGACAGCAGGAGGGGAAGCCAACCCAGCUCACGCUGGACCCCCAGCCGGCCGGGACAAGGGGAGCGACUCGGGGUGACUGGGGUGACCUGCACCCCGAAAUCUCACCGCCGUAAGAUGGAGUUGGGAGUGGAACCGUGCACGCAGCCUGUGCACCCGCAGAAGGGGUUUCGGGAGUUCCCCAAAGACAACAGCAGGUUGAUGGCAGCGGGGAGCGGCACAGAGAUUCUGGGCUUUGUCUUCAUCCAUGCACCUCUGCAUUGUGUGAUGUGUUAAGGAAGGGACAUUGUGAUCCAAGGCCUUGGUCUCACACAGCCUGAAAGAGGGCUGGGCUGGGCCUGGAGGCGGGAGCCCUUGUGCAUGCGCAAGGCCAGGGCUCAGGCCCUGCUCCACCCCCAAGCCAUGAAAGGGGUCGGCGGAAGAUCCUUUGUAUUUUUGUAUAAUGAUGUAUAACAUGUAUUUUUAUAAUGUGAUUUUUUUCUUAAUAAUAAAAACAAUAAAUGUUUAUUGAGAAAAAUCAAUAAAAAUAGCCGAGUAUAAAGAAAAAAAGUC